AACACAUACAGACUUGGAAAGACCUACAAUUAAAAGGUACCCAGAGGAAAUAACUUAGAGACUGCAGAUAUGGUUUAGUGGAUCAGCCAGGCAAGAGGACUGGCUGCCAGUAAUUCCAGAACCCGGGACGCAAAGAUCCCCUUGGCAAGUUUCUAGCGAGACUAGCCAGAAUUGGAGACCUUCAGGGUUAAAGAGAGACCCUGCCUCCAAAUGUUUUCUAGCAGGAAAAAUAUUAAGCUUUUAUGAAGAAUUCUUCUGGCCUCCUUGAGCUCAGUUUGUUGCUGAAGAGGAGCCAUGUUAAGACUUCACGAUCCUCCCUCCUUGUGUUCCUGGUUCCUACCCCUCCCCAACACCUUGACUCCAGCAAUUCAUUAUGGAUGGACAUCGUCUUACUAGGUGACACCCCUUGCAGAGGUCUUUGGAACAUCACUGAGUUCCAGGGUCUGAUUUGCUAUUUUCUCUGCUUGGGAUGCUCUUAUAAUGGUUUGGGCAUCUUCAGAGAGAGCUGGCUGGCUGGCCAGACUAGCAGAAACUAGAGCUCUGGCUUUAGAAGGAGACCCUGCCUCAAUAUACAAAGGGAAGAGCCAUUGAAAAAUUCACCCACUACAUCCACAAUGCUCCCCAUACAUUAAAAAAUAAAACAAAAUAGAAUAAAUUACCUUUUAUUGUG
rnacentral:lncRNA from 1 species